rnacentral:rRNA from 1 species
GACGAACCGUCCAAACGUUGUUCGGAAUCACUGGGCUUAAAGGGCGCGUAGGUGGCGCUGCAAGUCGGUGGUGAAAGCUCGAUGCUUAACAUCGAGUCGGCCAUCGAAACUGCAGGGCUGGAGCACUGUAGGGGCAGAUGGAAUUCCGGGUGUAGCGGUGGAAUGCGUAGAGAUCCGGAAGAACACCGGUGGCGAAGGCGGUCUGCUGGGCAGUUGCUGACACUGAGGCGCGACAGCGUGGGGAGCAAACAGG